rnacentral:SRP_RNA from 1 species
GCCGGGCGCGCUGGCGCGUGCCUGUAGUCCCAGCUACUUGGGAGGCGGAGGUGGGAGGAUCGCUUGAGCCCGGGAGUUCUGGGCUGUAGUGUGCUAUGCCGAUAGGGUGUCUGCACUAAGUUAGGCAUCAAUAUGGUGACCUCUCGGGAGCCGGGGGUCGCCAGGUUGCCUAAGGGGGGGCGGAAACGGAGCAGGUCAAAACUCCCGUGCUGAUCAGUAGUGGGAUCGCGCCUGUGAAUAGCCACUGCACUCCAGCCUGGGCAACAUAGUGAGACCCUGUCUCUU